rnacentral:rRNA from 1 species
AUGAUGCAACAAAUCUGGUCCGUUGAUCAAGCACAAGCUCUAGCCUUGAAGGCCGAGAGGUUUGUGAGGAUGAGAAAGACAACUAAGGCUCCAUAUCCUCCAUAUCCUCAUACCGAAGGCUCAUCUAGGAGCCAACCUAAUAGAGUGGAAGAAAAGACCACUCCACCAAAGACAAAACAGCCCAUCCCGAAGCAAACUAGAGGCAAGGGUAAGGCAAAUGAAGGCCCAAAGUGCUAUAAAUGUGGUGAAAAGGGACACAUAUCCAGCGGUUGCCCACUAAGGAAAUUUGUUAACACGACUAUCCAUGAUGGUGAAAGCGAUGAGGAAGAAUGCGAAUCUGAAGAUGUAGACGGACAAGAGGUUUGUCAAAAAGAAGGUGAAGAUGUGGUAUGUGUGAUCCAGCGUGUCCUAUGUUCCACACCACAACUCGAUGACACACAACGGAAGAAAAUAUUUGAGAGCAAAUGCACGGUGAAUGGCAAGGUAUGCAAACUAGUGAUUGAUAGUUGCAGCUGCGAGAAUCUUAUCUCCCAGAAGUUGGUGGACCAUUUAAAGCUUGAAACCCAUGAUCAUCCAAAUCCCUACACUAUUGGAUGGAUCAAGAAAGGAGUGAAUAUGAGGAUCACCAAACAAUGCAACCUGCCACUUUUUUUGGGUAAGCAUUAUCGCUCAAAUGUGUUGUGUGAUGUGGUUGACAUGGAUGCCAGCCAUGUUCUUCUUGGGAGGCCUUGGCAAUUUGAUGUGGAUACUACACACAAGGGCAAGGAAAAUUCUUACUCUUUCAUUUGGAACAAGAGAAGGAUCAUUAUCUUACCAAACAAAACCGAAGGUAAUACCUCUAAGGAGGAGCGGAAAACUAUGUUAACUAUCUCCCAUACCUCUCAUGAGUUUAUGGAAGACUUGAAGGAGGCAGAUUUGUGUGCUGCACUUGUUAUAAAGGGAGAAGAGCACCUGACUGUUGAAAUUCCAGCAAAGGUACGUGGUUUAUUGGCAGAAUUUCAGAACAUACUUGGGGAGCCACAUGGCUUGCCACCGAUGAGAGGAAUUCAACAUAGAAUUGACUUAAUUCCGGGAGCAAGUCUUCCUAAUCUUCCACACUAUCGAAUGAGCCCAAAGGAGCAUGAUAUAUUGAAGGAGAAAGUGGAGGAAUUGUUGCAAAAGGGGCACAUUCGAGAAAGUAUUAGCCCAUGUGUUGUACCAGCCCUACUCGCGCCAAAGAAAGAUGGAUCUUGGCGCAUGUGUACGGACAGUAGAGCCGUUAACAAGAUCACCGUAAGGUAUAGAUUCCCUAUUCCCCGUCUGGAUGAUAUGUUGGAUCAACUUAGUGGAGCAAGAGUGUUCACAAAGCUAGAUUUAAGAAGUGGAUAUCAUCAAAUCUGUAUAAGACCCGGGGAUGAAUGGAAGACCGCCUUCAAGACAAAGGAAGGGUUGUUUGAAUGGCUAGUCAUGCCAUUUGGACUCUCAAAUGCACCAAGUACCUUUAUGCACUUAAUGAAUCAAGUCCUUAGACCCUUCUUAUCCCACUUUGUUGUGGUCUAUUUCGAUGACAUCUUGAUCUAUAGCAAGGAUGAGGAUGGACACUUUGAUCACAUUCGGAAGGUGCUAGAAGUACUAAGGAAAAAUGAGCUCUACGUCAACUUGAAGAAAUGUGUUUUCCUGCAAACACAACUUCUUUUCCUAGGAUUCGUCAUAACAUGUGACGGCAUUCGUGUUGAUGAUUCUAAGGUUGAAGCAAUCCGAGAAUGGCCAACUCCUAAGACCAUUUCUGAGGUAAGAAGCUUUCAUGGCCUUGCAACUUUUUAUAGGCGAUUUGUUAAGAAUUUCAGCACUAUCAUGGCACCAAUUACCGAGUGUUUGAAGAAAGGAAAGUUCCAAUGGGCAGAAGCAGCUGAAGCUAGCUUCAAUGAGAUUAAACAAAAGCUAUCACAAGCUCCUGUCUUGGUACUACUUGAUUUCAACAAGACUUUUGAGUUGGAGUGUGAUGCAAGUGGAGUAGGCAUUGGAGCUGUCCUAUCUCAAGAAAGGAAGCCCAUUGCUUUCUUUAGCGAGAAGUUAAGUGAAGCUAGACAGAAAUGGAGUACCUAUCAACAAGAAUUAUACGCCGUUUUCAGAGCGUUGAAAACUUGGGAAGUCUAUUUGCUGCCUAAAGAGUUCAUUGUUUAUAGCGACCAUCAAUCCUUGAAGCAUUUUAGAAAUCAAAGGCAUGUUGACCGCAUGCUAGCAAGAUGGGCAGCAUAUUUGGAGAGAUUUAACUAUCUCAUCGUGCAUAAAUCUGGAAUAACUAACAGAGUGGCCGAUGCUUUGAGUCGUCGUGCAUGCCUCUUGACUUCUUUUGAAGCUGAACUUUCGGGCAUGGAUCAAAUAAAGGAGUUGUAUGAG